UACGUAGGGGGCUAGCGUUGUCCGGAAUCAUUGGGCGUAAAGCGCGUGUAGGCGGUCCGGUAAGUCCGCUGUGAAAGUCGAGGGCUCAACCCUCGAAUGCCGGUGGAUACUGUCGAACUAGAGUACGGAAGAGGCGAGUGGAAUUCCCGGUGUAGCGGUGAAAUGCGCAGAUAUCGGGAGGAACACCAAUUGCGAAGGCAGCUCGCUGGGACGUCACUGACGCUGAGGCGCGAAAGCGUGGGGAGCGAACAGG
rnacentral:rRNA from 1 species